rnacentral:lncRNA from 1 species
GCGAGGUGUUAUGUUAACCCAUUUUGGGCAAUGCAUGUAGAGUUGUCGUGUGAUGAAUAAUAAUAAUAAUAAUAAUAAUAAUAAUAAUAUCCCACUAAACUACAUAUAUAGUGUUUAAGAAAUUUGAAUAAGGUAAUGAUAAAGAUUAAGGAGUGGAAUAAAGAAGGUGGGUGGUGGUAUAAUUGAUGAGGGUGUGUGUGAGUGCAUUGGCUUUCGUAUCUGAUGAUGAUGAUAAUGGCAGUCACAAGAAGAAGCAGUAGAGGAGACAGAGAGAGCAGUGAGAGAGAGAGAGAGAGAGAGUGAAAGAAAAUGAGGAAACAACAUCAAGGUGUGGGGAGAUGGUGGUGGGUCUCUCUCUUUCUUCUGUGUGUGUUUGCUGCAAAAGAAUCAAAACACUAUAGCUAUACCUAUCUAACUCUCUAACCGAACCUCUUCUACUCACUGCACAUUCAUUCAUUCAUUCAUUAGUGGGCACAACACCACCUUUUGUUUUGACUCUUCCUUCUCUAUUCACAUCCAUAUAGGCCCCACUCACUGCACCCAUUCUUCAUUUCUUCUCUUCUCUUCUCAUCACACUUUCUUCACAAAUUCAUUCACUAAUCAUUCUUUCCUCGAAUCAUGGAAACUCAUCCCCUACCUACCUACCAUCCUUUCCCUCGCCUUCUAAUUUAACUCCUAUGCAUAAUCGCCCUUUUAAAUCAAUAAUUUUAUUCUAGUGUAGGAAAUCGAUUGUUAGCGAAUGAAUAAUGAUAAUAAUAAUAAUAAUUUUGUUUAUCCAAGUUGAGAAUUAAGCUAGAUUGUGAAACUAGGUCCUUAAAAUUGAAGUUACAUUUCAAUGUAUAGAUUCUGGCCCAAGGAAAAUAAAUGAGUAGAAUAGAAAUAUUUGGAAACGGGAAGUGGACCACAAAGGAAAAGCAGGAGAACUCUUGCAAUAGGAUUGAAU